rnacentral:lncRNA from 1 species
AGAAGUCAGUUGGGCAGUUAUCUGUGGAUUCCUGUUGUUGCUUCUCUCCUCAUCCACGCUUUAGUGGGUUGUUGAGAGCUAGUUUGCUGGCACAAACAAACAAACAAAAACAAAUGAUUUAUGGAAACUACUGAGUCAUGCCUUGUCCCAUAGCUGCCUUUCUCCUGCUCUGGGAAGGCUCAGUUACACAGCAAAUUUCUGAAGGGAGAAGUAGCCAUGCUGUGGAAUGUGUUAUUAUAAGAAAACUUUGCUGCUGCUCUGGUGAACCCAGUGAUGCUUGAGUAGCCAAGGUUCUCAUGUACUUUCUUACUUACUGUACUGAGGUAAGCAAAGUGACAGAUCGUUUAGGGCUCUUGGAGAAAUGCUUUGCAAACCUACAAAAUGACUUUUUGUUUUAUUUCAUUUUGUUUUUUGAGACAGAGUCUUGCUCUGUUGCCCAGGCUGGAGUGCAGUGGUAUGGUCUUGGCUCACUGCAGCCUCUGCCUCCCAGGUUCAAGUGAUUCUCCUGCCUCAGCCCCCAGCUAGUUGGGAUUACAGGCACAUGCCACCACACCUGACUAAUUUUUGUAUUUUUAGUAAAGACGGGGUUUCACCAUGUUGGUCAGGCUGGUCUCAAACUCAUGAUCUCAGUUGAUCCGCCCACCUCGGCCUCCCACAUUCAGACUGUACAAAAUCCUGAGGUGAAUGGCAAGAUGGCUGAAUAAGAACAGCUCCAGUCUGCAGCUCCCAGUGAGAUCAAUGCAGAAGGCCUUCAGUACAUCUUUAUUAAUCUGACUGCCUGGUUGCAGUUACAUUUGAGAAUAAGACUGAGAUCAAAUUCCACGUUUAGAGUGAGAAAUGACUGCAGUUGAAGACUUGGUUGCAAGAGUCUAAGAAGACACCUCAGGGAGAGAGACAGGAUCCAAAACAAGAUUGCUGGCUGAGGAAUGGGACAAGUCACCAGCUCAGAAGUCUCAGGACCAGCGACAUCAAGAGCAGGAAGUGGCCAGUGCCUCAACUUCACUCCCCUCUCCCUCCUGGAACAGGCCCUCCAUCACCGUAGAUAAUUCAUGUCACUGAAUGGAACAUGUAAGCCAUCUCACUUCUUUUUGUCUUCACAAAUGCUUUAAACACAGGCUUGGAAAAUCUGUGGGCUUCUCACACGUUCUCAGAUAUAUUCCUUUGCACCUAACUGGAGUGAAAUGAUAUGGUGCUCAGUGGAAGGAAUCUGGUUGUGCCAGCAGAGGUUGGGGCUAUGGAACCAUGUAACUGGAAGCAAGCAGUGAAAGAAACCUGGAAACUCCUGUCACCCUGUGCCUCAGUGCAGGCUGGCUCAGCAGCAUCAACUUAAUGUUCUGUGUGGGAUGCUAGCACAUUUGUGUUUGGAGCCUGGUAAUUAGAUUGUGAGCAGGAGGCAAAAUCCCAGCAAUCUGGUGGCAUGGACAAAUCUUGGUGUCAGAAGGCAUGGUGUGUUGAGGCUUAACAAUCUCAGCUCUAUUUUUGUCUAUCACCCCUUUGAUACAUGUCAAAAAAAAUCCCACCCACUAGUUCUCUUUCUCCUCUCCCCAUCAAGAUCAAGCACCAUAGACAAAUUAAAUAAUAACAAUAAUAGAACAGGAAAAUAAUACACCGAUGAUCAGACAUCAAAAUGAAAUGCAGACCCUUAGAACAACUUUGCUUCGUGUACUUUUAAUACAUUUUAUAUGCCACACGGCAAUUUACUGAGAGGUGGAUUUUAACAUACCACAUAUGCUAUUGGCAAGAUAAGAAUUACUGAGUUGAAUGUUGGUUCACUAAAUAUGCUGAAACCCUUUUACAGUGUAGACUCUGAGGAACAGCUAACACUCUCUUUAUGGGCACAUUGAAAUGAAUUGUGCUUUUACUGUAUGUCAUUGUUAUGUUUCAGGGGACAUGAUUUCACCAGUAGCUUUGCCAAAUUUUUGCAAUAACAUGAUUCCACUGUAUUUCUAUUUUAGUACCACGAUCUCAUGCCUUGAAGUUUAUUUGAAAAAAGAAAACAACAUAAAAAAGAGUGAAGUUCAGCCAAAUCCAGGUUAUUCAGGAUUUAAGUUAUAAUCCAGCAUGAAGAUUAUCCUAAACUUUUGCUUCUCUUCCUCACCUUUAGUAUUUUUCAUCUUAAGUGGAUGUUCCUGCUCAGUAGCAUAUUUCCCAGAAAGAAUCAAUGGGAUUUAAUUAAUUUCUUGUGUGAAAUGCUGCAGAGAUACUUUUUGAGGGAGGGAGAGAGAGAGAGAAUGAGAAUGUAUGUAGAGAGAGAGAGAAGAGAGAAAUGGUUGGAAGCUUUUGGUAAUAUUUUCUGAUAUGUAUAAACUUAAAUUACCUAGAAUUCAUGAGCACUUCUGCUUGCUAUCCAUGUAGAAGAGAUCAUUAAGAGAUUGCUGUAUUUUAUCCAUAAUGUACUUUUCUAACCUAAAUUAUUAGGAAUAGGAAUACCCCAUCUGCAUGCUAUGAAUAACACCAUGUGUGGAGAAUCUGCACAGAUCCUGAGAUAAUUGUAGGGAUGAAGCUGUCUAAGGAGAAAUCCCAGGCCUUAGGAGAGUGUGAACCUUGUGGAAAGAUGAACAAAAGGGGAAGAGCCCUAUUUUGAAUCAAGGAAAUCUUAACUCAUGAGAAUAAAAUUAGUGUGAGGAGCCAAAUCCUGAACAAUCUUUAGUUUCCUUAUUUUCUCUCUGAUGACACUGUAACUGUCUAACUAAAAAGGAGAGAAUCAAGUUAAGGAGCAAAGUAUUUGGUCAACCCUUUAAACUAUUUGUCGACAUCAUUUUAUAGGUCAGCAUACUUGUUUGAAUUUUCCAUUUGUCUUUAGAAUAUCUACCUGGAGAGAAGUCGAUAUUUAACUAGAAGAGAUGGACGCUGUUGGGCUAAUACAAAAAGUUAAAAAUUCAACCCAUGAAACAUUGGUUUUUAUUUCAUUAGCAAUUUUGGUUUCAUUUUUUUUACCCAAAUUAGGCUGAAAAAUGAAAUCAAAAUUGCUGGUGAAAUGAAGCCAUUUUAUACAAAUAGCACUUUGCAUCCUCAAAAAGAGAGAUUCCACAGAAUGUUCUUGUACAAACACCUGUAGUUUGGGUCCAUGUGGAAUCUCUCUUUUUCAGGACACAAAGUGGUAUUUGUAUAAGAACAUUCUGAUUCUGGAUCCACUAGCUGCAAGAAGACCUGAUUGAACCAGUGCCUCCCGCUGUGGGUGAAAAUCAGCCUGGCCUCUCCUGGGACACAGAGGGGACCAAACUGUCAGUCACUAGAAUGAUUUGUUCUCACUUUCCAGCUGGCUGGUUUGGUGCUGUUGUUGAUGCUGCCACAGUCAUUGUAGUGUAGGGUAGGUAACAGACUAGCCUUCCAAGCACCUAGCUUUCCACCUCCUUGCUGAGACUUUGGCUUGGUCUCCUAGAAAUGGCUCCUUUUAACCCAAUAAACAGGGAAGUGGGUGGGGGGAUAGCUGUUUAAAAAGAGCACAUUUUAAUGGAAAAAUGAGGUAUUUUCCAUUGUGGUAAUGUGUCUUUUUUUUUCAAUCAUAAAAUUGCUCAAAAGAGGAAGCAAAAAGAGGAACAUGUAUUCAUUUGUUUCAACUUGAAUUUGUGAAAUGAGUUCUUAAGAAAGCUAGCAGGCAUCUAUUUCGAAGAAUUAUGACUCCUUUUCGACAUGUAAAUAUCGUAUCAUUUCCACAGUAUAAUUAUCUCCCAUGAUGAUCUAAAUUUAUAUGACUGUAGAUUCCAAACGCAGUUAUUGUGGAGUUUCAACAAGACCACAUAUGAGAAAGAAAGAGAGAAAAUAUCUGCAUGUGUCAGUGUUCAAAUGACACCAUCAGAGACUGUUGAGAGUAAGACAAGACCUCUCCUUUGUGACCAGUUAACUGAUACUAGACAAGUAUUGUUCUAGCAGGUAAAAUGACUCGAAGAUAUCUUCAAACUUUAUAUUUUUUAAUAACCCCCAUAAUACAGAAUUACCUAUGGAUGUACAUGUUGGAGUACAUUCACGUGAAAGUAUAGAAUCAGACAUUAUUCAGGCAGACUUUCCCUGUUCCAAAUACUCCUUAAUUGAGGAACUACCUUGACUACUAAUUUUAAAUCACAAUAGUUCCAUGCAGAAGGGAGAGCUAAGUUUUGGGUUACAAAAUUUUGAAAACCACCAUAUAGAACCCACCUAAAAUAUCCAACCACCAACUUGCCACUGGCGAUGGCUGAGAAAGCAGAAGGGAGGCAGAUGUGGUUGUUGCCCAGUUGGAAAUGAUGAUACUAAUAAGACUUUAAGUGAAGUAAGCAGAAGGAGUUUGGGGCAUUUGUUAUGCUCUCCUUGAAGCUCUGUUCUGAGUCCUCCCAGACCUGGCUGGAGAUUGAUUUUCCUUCUGUGCUAGAUAUCCUACGUGAAAAUAACCAUGGCAGUAUUAAUAAUAGCACUGUAGCAGCUGUUUGGAAAGUGAGCACCUUCCAUACCUUAACUUUCUAUUUUGCCUGGUAGAUUGCACUCUUUUCCUUUUCACUAGCAGAUAGUUCUCUGAGUACGAAUCUAAAGAGAGGAGAGCCAAGGCUAUCUAUAUUGCCUAUGGUAAGACAGCAUAGUGAGACAUUUCCUUAAAAAUCUGGGAAUGACUGCAAAUGGCAUUGGGAAUACAAUCAUGAGUUGGUUGCCCCUGAUGGUAGUUCUUCAGGUUCAUGCAUAGGAAGCUCCAAGGGAAGGUUGACUCAUUAGAUGCACCAAAGGUUGGCUUACUCUAAAAAUGAACAUGUCAUGAGCAUGCACACAGGGUUAAUAACAUAUAUUGAGCUUUUCCUAUAUGCUAGAUUCUUUUUUACCUUCUUAUUAAAUCCAAACAACAACGUCCCAGUGAAGAUGUUGUUAUCAACAAGAAUAUAAGCAGAAUGAGUAGCAAUUUGGGUUCACUUGUAUACAAUAAACACUUGGCACAUUUGCUUUUCAAAUGAUUUAAUAAAUGUUAACCUUAUGGAUGAAGAAACAGAGUUUUGCAGAGAUUGAAUACUCUGCCAAAUUCCCCCAGCCAGAUAACGCCAGAACAGGGAAACAGGCCUGACGCUAUGGGGAGAUUUUGUUCCCUGCCAGAGGUUCAGCAUACCCAAAUCCCCUCCCUUGUGUGGGCCCUGGUUGGAGUUGGACACAAGAAAAAUUUGCAUGAGAUAUGGAAGGUAGAAGUGAAGCAGCAGCUGUUAUGCUCAGAGGAUGGACAUAUGGAUGCCAGGCACCAUGACAGUGUCAACUUACACGUCAUCACUUAUCUGCUGGUUCACCUCGUUGGUGUGGGGCAAUGGCUGGGUCCACAGCUUCUCUAGUUUUCAGCAGAUCUCUUCCUUUCAGUUCUUUGAGUCCUGAGCCAUGGCAGGAACCUUGUGCAGCUUCACGGCAAAGGACACCAGUCUCUUCUGCAAGUUAUCUAUAUUGUUGAGGUUGGAGGCCAUGAGAUACAGAUGUGGGUUUUAGUUUGUCUUGUCUCUCUGUUCAUGUCCAGCUUGUCUUCCUGAUUGCCAGCCUUCUUGACCUCUAGUGACUUCAAGGCUACUGCCAGAUGCAAAGGCAACAGCCUCCCAUAGGCUUCUUUAUAAGUUCCCACAAUGCUGUCGAGUCUAACCUCUUCAGUAAACCAUUUAUUUCAUAUCACUUGUGGUGGCUGUGCUUCCAUGAUCAAACUUUAGCUGUUAUGGUUUGUCAGACUCCAAAUUUCCAGGAUACUGCACUCACUGGGAGACUAUGAGGGUGAAGGCACGAGCAGGUUUCAGUGGGACUGGAAUCCUCUGGCUUUAGGAAACUGAGUACUUCCUUAAUCAGAUGCUCAGAGAACAAAGCAAGGGGAUAUACAUGAGCAAAACAGAAAAUUGAGAAGUCAUAUCAAUGUUUCAUUUAGCUUAUGAGAUUACAGAGCUAGUAAUUUCAUGGCCAAUUAUAUGUUUAAGAUAGGCCAAAAAUAAGUUGAAAAAAUAUUUCAGUGGCCGUUUGUGGACAAUAUAAAAAUGACAUUUUUCUGAUUUCUCAAUCAGUGCUUUUCAGUAUCUUAGUCACAGCCUACAUUUACAUGCCAAACAUCUGCAUGGAAAGUGAAAAUAUGCUGUUAUAACCUAGAUGAAACAUCUGGAAGAUGAUAUUUUUCUACUUUUUAUUCAUUUGGUGUCACAUAGAUCUAGGCAUCAACACAUAUCUCUUUUCCCUUAACUUUAAAAAAACAUGAUUUUAUUUUUCAGUGCACUUUUUCUGGAAAACAAUUUUGCAAGGUGCAAGGUAUUCAGAUGAAGUGCUGAAAUCUUGGCUGUAGGAAAAGUUAAGCAUAACCAACCAACACUUACUUCAACCCCAACUGCAACACUUCUGAGACUUACCCUUUGCCAUUUAGCACGUUCCUUUUGCUGUCUGCUUGCACACUAUGUACCCUGGGACUUUCCUGGUUUUCUCUGCCUUCUGCUUUUGGGGUAAUAUUGGUUUAACCAAUAUUAAACCAAGAAGUACAACAUUAGAAAGACCCAAUUUUCUUACAUGAAAGCAAGAAGUUUAUUCAACUCAUUGCUUCACUUUAUUUCUAGGGGCCUUUUCUAGGUCCAGAAAGAAGUUGUCCUUAGCCCUAGACUUUCUGUACCUCUACCCACCCUCCCUUCAGUAUGUAUGUACGUUGUCUGUCUUGAGUGAGAUAAUAUGCCCAUGCAGAUACGCUCUUCUUUGUUUUCUAAGCAUUAGGGUUGCUGAUACACAACAAUAUUUUUUCUUGGUAGAAGUAUGUUCCAUGCAAUAUUUGGGAUAUAUUUUAUGCACAAUUACUUGCUGUUUAGCUAAAAUUCAAAUUUAACUGGGCAUCCUGUAUUUUAUUUGCUAAAUCUGUCAACCAUAGUGUAGAUACUUCUCGCAUCCCCAAUCUCCCAAAGCUCCCAUUUUCUAAAUCCUGCACACUGACAAGACUUUCAACAGUAAGUUAACUUCUGGACAGCUUGCCAGACUCUCCUUGAGGAAUGUGUUUGCCUUCUAGCAUUUGGAUGAAUAAUUUAGUUCUGCCACUAAAACAAAACAUGAAUGGGCAUUUGAUGUAAACAUUAUUUUCCUCACUGCUUUGGCUGAAGAGCUGAAGAGUUAGAAAGGUCCUACCGGCAACAUCCACCUUUCUGAAAUGCACUGCUUGCUCACAGACUUAAGGUGUAGCUUGAGCUGUUUCUGGGUUACACAGCUUUUCUUCUAUUUCCGUUUUUUUCUUCUUCAAAGUUUCUAGUCUUCUUUUCUUACAGAAGUAUGACCUCUCUUCAAGUCUCAACCAGGACCAACAUUUGUGCCAUCCAGAUUUUGCGACCCAGAAAUGGCCAUCUGACCAGUCCAUGGAAGGCCUUCCUAGACUGGAGUGUGUAUUCUUAUGACCCAGAUCACAUAAUACUGACAGAGAGGUAUUUGGCAGUAACAUGGGUAAUAAUGGUAAGGAAGGGUAUAUGGACUACGAUUUAUAAAGGCUUUUUGAAAUUAGCUUGAAAAUAACACUUACUGGGAUUUCCCACAUUUUAAAACUAACAUGCUUAUUGUAGAAAAACAUGCAAAACAUACAAAAGCUAAAAGCAAACAUAACAAAACAAUCACUCACAAAUUCACAUCUUGAGAUAUUCACUGUUGUUAUUUUUGGUGUAUAUUUAUAAUAUUUUUCUAUAAAUUUAUUUGUUGUUUCAAAAAAGUACCAUAUAACACAGAAAUACACAGCAACUUUUUUUUGUGAUUUAGCAAUGGAUUUUGAACAUUUUUUUCUGUGCAGAGUACAUGUGUAUGUCAAUAAUUCUCAAUAUUUUUUGGGUUGCAGAUCUUAUUUAAGAAAGUAAAGCUGCUUCUUUCACGAAAACAACUAUACAGGUACCUAGAGGAUUUGGGUACAAUUUCAGAUCAUUAAAAUACAUCUGUAGAUCCUAAAGAUAAAGAAGUCCUGUUCUAAAGUAUCACAACUAAUUUGAAUGACUGACAUGGGAUAUUUUGAGGCUUCCAGUAAGAAUUUAUUUUAUAUAAGCUAAAUAGGCAAUUAGACAUUUGCUACAUUGGGACCUCAUAUUAUAAGAUUUUGCUUUUUUUUUUUCUUGGAAUUCAGGUUUUUAGGGUAGUGGUCCCCAACUUUUUUGGCAGCAGGGACUGGUUCAUGGAAGACAAUUUUUCUGCUGAGCAGGGGUGGGAGGUGGGCAGGGUUGGGUGAUGGUUUCGGGAUGAAACUGUUUCACCUCAGAUCAUCAGGCAUUAGAUUCUCAUAAGGAGCACACAACCUAGAUCCUUUGCAUAUGCAGUUCACAGUGGCAUUUCUGCUUCUUUGAGAAUUUAAUGCUGCUGCUGAUCUGACAGGAGGUGGAGCUCAGGUGGUAAUGCUCACUUCCCCGCCAUUCACCUGCUGCUGUGCAACCCUGUUCCUAAUAGGCCACAGACCAGUACAUGUCCACAGCCCAGGGGCAUGGCAAGAGGAGACAUUAGCAAAUAUGCAGAUUGUCCUGUUUACAUGUCAGCUCUGAAGACUGUUGAGUUGAUGGGUCUUCCCUUGGUUGCAAGCCAACAGCAGUCAGAAGCAAGAAACCUUGUCUAGAUUUCACAAUAACCUUGUCACAAGUCUCACGUUUCCUGUAGGAAAGCUGAAUUUACCAGCACACUCACUGUGAGUAAAACUGUAACUCUGCUCUGAGCAGAAGGCUUGUGCUGAGGAUAAAAACAAAUUCUCAGUGGAAAUACAAAAUUGAUCUAUUAAUUCCUGGAUGCUAAAGACAAUGAUUUUUUCCUGUCUGGUGGCUGUUUUUCUUUUGUAUGUAACUUUCAGUUUAUUUCCGUAGUUAGGAAAGAGAUAAAGCAACUUGAGAAAGCAUAGGAAGGUGUAGUCCCCUGAAAUCUAAAUGAAGCCUGUUUGGUCUUGCAGUUUCCUGUGCAGGUCUGGCCUGGGGCAGGACUAUAUGGGCAUCUGCAGCCCACACAAUGUAGGAAAAAGACUGGUAGAAUAUUAUCAUUAACUAAAGUAACUAUAGAUGUUCAUUACUGAGCACUUAUUGUACAAUGGCCAUUGGGCUAGGUGCUCUACCUAAAUUACAUUAAAUUCUCACCACUCUAAAAAGUAGGUAUCAUUUUUCUUUUAUGUGGAAGGGGCUGUGCCACUGAAUGGGUAAGAGCACAGACUCUGGCUUUCCACAAUCUCGAUUCAUACAUAUUGGCCUUGUGACCUUGAGAAAGUUACUUAGUCUCCUUGUGCGGCAUUUCUUUCAUCUGUAAAAUGGGGCUAAAACACAAAUUUGAAUCCAGGUCAGAGUUUCUUUUUUAAAUUUAUUUUUUAAUAAAAAAUUUUAAUGAGAUGUAAUUCACAUAUAUUAAAAUUUGCCCAUUUAAAGUGUACAAUACCAUGUUUUUAUUUUUCAUUUUUAAAUUUUAAUUUUUAUUCUUCCAACCUUUUUUUUUUUUUUUUUUUUCUGAGACAAGGUCUCACUCUGUUACCCAGGCUGGAGUGCACUGGGGCGAUCUCGGCUUACUGCAACCUCGGCUCACUGCAACCUCUGCCUCCCGGGCUCAAGUGAUUCUCUUGCUUCAGCCUUCUAAGUAGCUGGAAUUAACAGGCAUGUGCCACCACGCCUGGCUAAUUUUUUGUAUUUUUAGUAGAGACAGAGUUUCACGAUGUUGGCCAGGCUGGUCUUGAGCUCCUGGCCUCAAGUGAUCUGGCCACCUUUGCCUCCCAAAGUGCUGGAAUUAUGGGCGUGAGACACUGCGCCUGGCCUUUCCCACCUUCCACCCUCAAGUGGGCCCCAGUGUCUAUUGCUCCCCUCUAUGUGUCCAUCUGUACUCAAUGUUUAGCUCCCACUUAUGUGGUCAGUGUUUAGCUCCCACUUUAGAACAUGCGGUAUUUGGUUGUCUGUUCCUGAAUCAAUUUGUUUAGGAUAAUGUCAGCCAGGGUUUCUACCCAGGAAAGCCUACUGCCUGAUUCAGUCCUUAGCUAAAUUGUAAAGAUCCCUUUGAUUCCUCCCUCCAGCCCUCCUUUCUCACUACAGCACCCUCUCUCCCUAUCUCCACUAACAAGAUCUUUCCUUCCCUCUCCUUCUUCUCUUCAUAACUUCGCUUGCAACUUCCGGUUUCCAGGCUACAGAAUGCCAGCUUUCACAAGUGUGAGGACUGCUAUGAAAGAGAGGCACAUGCAUAGCAAGGGCAUUUUUAGACCUCCAAAGCCUCAGGAACACAGGAAGUAAUUCUCUAAUAAAUAGAUAUCUGGAAUUGUAACUGGUUGAAGGAAAUACUUGGUGCCAAAUUCCUAUUUAGUGCUCCUCAAAACACACGAUGAUGGAAAGUGGCCUCCUCCUUUUUCUAAAUUAAUUGGGCUUUGAUAUGGGUCUGGAAGAAACUCAUGAGCUGCAGUCUUUCAUUCAGGAACUUAAUAACUUUUGGCCAUAGUUGGAAUGACUUGUCAUGUUUGGGUCCAGCCAAUAGGGAACACAGGUCACAUCUUUCCCUGCAUAAGCCCACAGCCACCCAUGCUGUGGGUAGCUGUCCCUUUCCUUUCCCUUCAUAAAGUGGAUAGGAGGCGAAUAAGGCUGAAUAGUAAUUAUAAACAUCUGGUGGUUACUUUAUGAUUAGGUCAUGUUAAAGAUUUUGGGAAGCCUUCCAUCAGUCUCAGUUAAUAUCUUUCCAAUUAUGUUUACAUUGACAUUUACCCUGGGCCCUGUAACUUCUCAUUAUGCCUUCUGGAGUUAUCCCAUACGCUCUGGGCGUGGUGAGAAGUUCACCAGGGAGGCAAGGAUUACUGCUGCUACUGCUUGAUCAAGGGGAAAGGCAGCCAGCAGUUCCAAGGAGCCAGGAAGGGACUGCCCAGACAUGAAGAAAGAUAAUGUGGUUACUAUUUUGUCAUAUACUUUGGCUUUAUUUUACCUGAAAGUUCAAUGACCAAGAUACUAGAAAAAGUCUUCAUAGCACUGAGGGGCUGUUUCUGAAUUAGAGACACAACUGAUAGUUGGAAGCCUGUUGUUUGUGAGAAAGAAUUGUUUGACUAGCAACACACCUAGCCUCUCUGCAUUAAUCUCCCAAAUGAAAUUCAGAACAGGUAUUGGAAGCCUAGACAUGAAAUGAAAGAAAAAUGUAUGAACUAAGUACACUGAUUGCAUUCAUUCAGCAGGUGUUUUCUUGUUGUCUGAGCAACUUCUAUAUAUUUAGCUCACUGCAUAACAAGGUGCAGAUACAGUGGUAUAUAAGACAUUGUCAGCUGGGCACGGUGGCUCAGGCCUGUAAUCCCAGCACUUUGGGAGGCCGAGGUGGGCAGAUCACUUGAGGUCAGGAGUUCAAGACCAGCCUGACCGACACGGUAAAACCCCAUCUCUACUAAAAAAAAAAAAUACAUAAACAAAGCCGGGCGUGGUGGCAUAUGCCAGUAAUCCCACCUACUUGGGAGGCUGAGGCAGGAGAAUCAGUUAAACCCGGGAGGCAGAGGUUUCAGUGAGCCGAGAUGGUGCCACUGCACUCCAGCCUGGGCAACAGAGUGAGACUCCGUCUCAAAAAAAAAAAAAAAAGACAUUGUCUCCUUUCUCUAAAGCCAUAUGGUUUAGUUGGGUGGUAAGGUAGAUGAUAAAAUAUUUACAUAAAAUUAUAAGUAUAGAAAAUGAAGCAUAUACUCUAAGUAAUACACAAAAAUGUCUCCUGAUAAGCCUUUUAUUUUGUGUUUGGUGUAAUUUUUUAAAGUGACAUGUUCAUGUUUUUGAAUAAAUUUUACUUACGUCUUUGUGUUUUUAUGUACUUUCCAGUGGAAAAUUAUUAAAAAUGUUUUCCCAGCAAAUCAACACAAUUUAAUAGUAAAUAGCAAUAUUAGCAGCAUUCCAUCUAGUGCAAAAUAGGUCUUUCAAGCACAGUGGCCAAUGACCGUGGAGAAGUCUCCCAGGAAGGUUCUGGAACAGGUUCUUACAGGAAGGGCAGCCGAGAACAUCAAUGAUUAAAAGGGGGCUGAGAAGAGGAAACUGAUGGACAAAGAGGUGAGAAGUGGGAGAAAGAACGAAAAUCUGGAGGUUGGAGGAUAAACAAACCCACAUCCUUGUGGAUGAAGAAGGAUACCAAAAACUCAUUUUCCUGGAAGGAGCAAUUUUUGAAAUCAGCUACACUGAGGCUGCAGAUUGAGUGAAGGUCUUUUCCAUGUGAAUUUGUCCUGCAUCUGGGAUAAAGGUAUAAUGAUUACCUAAAGCAUGUUCUGUUCAUGGAAGAUCACUGGAACACAAAAGACCAAGCUCACAGCAUAUUCAAGACAUCUGCUCGUAUUCCACUGGCCAAAGAAAGUGAUGUGGCCCAGCCUAAAGUCAGUGAAUGGAUGAGGAAAGGAAGGCAUGGAAAGUGGACUGGCAUGGCUAUGAGUUAGAAGCAGUCAGAGUUCAGUUCAGAAACCUCUGAAUUCAAGGCCAAGGCUCUGGGGACGAGGUUUUCCCCCAACAUCAGUAAGCUUUGGAAACUUUUUAAAAAGUGGAAGAAAAAGUGAUACCUAAUACAGUGCUGUCCACAUGAUAUGCAACCAAUACAUAUUCAAUAAAUGAGUAAAUAUGAAAGAACAAAUUUAAAUGAUGUCAACAUAUUAUCUCCAACAGUUAAGAAUCUUACACUUAGUUCCCUGCAUAAAGCUUCCUGCAUAGUCUUCAGUUUUGUUAACUAAAAGGUGUGACCUGAUAAUAUUAUUGGUUCAAGUGAUAACUGCUUUGUACCAACUAACUGGUUUUUCAACAGAUUUGUUAUUACUGUGCAUAAGUGUUGGAAACAGUUUGUUCAUAGGAGUCUGUUUUUUUUUUCUGGAGUCUUAGGAAAGUGGCUGGUUUUACUCUGAAACAUCAUAACUUUGCAAUCAGGAACCAGGUACAAAAUGAGUAACUGUUAGCGAAAACAACCAGAAGCCACAUUUUUAGCUAUCUCUGUCAUGUAGCUACAAAUAAGAAAUACCAUUCCACCAACUUUGUGUCAGGUGCCUUUUUAUAUAAUAUGAAGAGUACUGUUUAAGUUCAGGGGAGAGCUAAAUACUGGGGUCCCUGUUAUGAAGGAACUCAAGAAGCCUUGAUGAAUGUAUAGUGAAUGAUGAGUAACAUGUUGGUCUAAGGUAGCCAGAGACAAGAAAGACCAUCUCUGCCUGGAAAGGGCAGGCCAGCUUCAUGGGGAAGAUGAUACUUGAAAUGGAUCUUGAAGGAUGGUGAUGCAUUUAAUGGGGUGCUUGGAACAAAAACAAAGGCAAGGAUGUGAAAACAUGCAGGGUGAUUUUGGUGGAGAGUUUUGCUGGAGAAAAGCACUCAAAUGGGGUCGUCAAGGUAGAUAAACCUGAUAAGGGAGUUAGUUUGCAGAUUGUUGCGGGCGUGAAGUGCUAGGCCAAAAGUUAGGAAGUUCUUGAAGUGUCUAGGUGUGAAACAAUGACGGUCUGAAUGAAGAUGUAGCCAUGAAAAUCAAAAAACAUUUAUUCAUUUUAGAGGCAUUGAUUUCUACAAAUUUCACUGAAUUGGUAAUUCCAACGUAGGAGGCAAGGGAGAUAAAGUAUCAAAGAUGACUAGAUGCUGA